rnacentral:rRNA from 1 species
UGGGGAAUAUUGGACAAUGGGCGAAAGCCUGAUCCAGCCAUGCCGCGUGUGUGAAGAAGGCCUUUUGGUUGUAAAGCACUUUAAGCGAGGAGGAGGCCACUUAGAUUAAUACUCUAGGAUAGUGGACGUUACUCGCAGAAUAAGCACCGGCUAACUCUGUGCCAGCAGCCGCGGUAAUACAGAGGGUGCGAGCGUUAAUCGGAUUUACUGGGCGUAAAGCGUGCGUAGGCGGCUUUUUAAGUCGGAUGUGAAAUCCCUGAGCUUAACUUAGGAAUUGCAUUCGAUACUAGGAAGCUAGAGUAUGGGAGAGGAUGGUAGAAUUCCAGGUGUAGCGGUGAAAUGCGUAGAGAUCUGGAGGAAUACCGAUGGCGAAGGCAGCCAUCUGGCCUAAUACUGACGCUGAGGUACGAAAGCAUGGGGAGCAAACAGG